UUUGUUUAUGUUUUUUUGGUUAGAGGGACAGUUUCAUGAUUGGUGCAUAGCUGAUGAACAGACACCAGAUGAUGAGCUGUUACAGGCACUCAGUUGGGCAUGUGGGAAUGGUGCAGAUUGCAGCAAAAUACAAGAAAAUCAGCCAUGUUAUCUCCCAAAUACUGUUAGAGAUCAUGCUUCUUAUGCAUUCAAUAGUUACUACCAAAAUUCAAAUCAUGUUACCUCCCAAAUACAGUGAGAGAUCAUGCUUCUUAUGCAUUCAAUAGCUACUAUCAAAAUUCAAAGCAAAAAGGGGCUAGUUGCUACUUCAAUUCUGCUGCUGUUUUAACUGCUCGUGAUCCAAG
rnacentral:lncRNA from 1 species